AUAACUUUGAGUACACCGAUGAUUGGCAGUCCUCUCUUUUGUCAGGUACCAAGUGCUGAACCCCAACGUGAUUCCCCAAGGGUUUGUGGACAACAAGAAAUCUUGGGGCUAGGAGCUGCUUCUUGGGGCAAUCAACCUGGACACAGAUGAAAACGAAAUUGGGCAUACUAAGGUCUUUUUCCUAGCGGGCAUCCUGGCCAAGCUUGAGGACAUGAAGGACGAGCAUCUGGCCAAUAUCAUGAUGUUGGUUUCAAGGCUUCCUCAUGAGAGCUGAAUUCAAAAAGACGUUGGAAUGAAGAUAACACUCCCAGCAGCUCCAGGGAAGUGAUUGCUGAAGCACACAGAGAUGUGGCCCAGGCCUCCGCUCUACCAGACUCGGCCUGAAAGUCAUUCAGGGGAAGGGGUGCAAGUUCCUGCAGCUGUGUUUGUGGGCUGGUGGAAGCUCUGCAACAAGGAGAGGCCGAGAGGCCAGGAUGGCUCCUGCAUG
rnacentral:lncRNA from 1 species